CCUGUUAAGGAAGGACAGAAUUAUCAGCUCAAAACUGUUGACAUCACUGAUCAGAAACAAAGAACAACUGUCCAAGUGAAUCUUUGGGGGAGUUCAUCCCAAAGUCAUGUUCCACCUGUUGGCUCACCAGUUCUACUGGAGAAUGUUGAAAUUUCUUCAUAUAAACAAGACACUGUCCUCAAUGCCACACAAGAAACAACCUUUGUGACAAGAGAAGAGCCAAGUUCACAACAGACGGUGGCAGUCAAUGCAUUCUCUGAAGAACAGAAUGGCGACAUUACGAUCUUCACUGAUGACAACACAGAGUAUGUAACAGCUCCAGAUAUUCUCAACGAUGCCCUCCAUAUUACCGAAGUUACUGAGGCACACCCUCUACUCCCCAUCGUUCUAGACAUAGAGUUUCA